rnacentral:lncRNA from 10 species
GCAGACAUAUAUAUUAGACAUGAAGAAAUAAAACCAUGUUUAUUCACAGAAGAUAUGAUUGUCUAUGUAGAAAGUCUGGUUAAAUCUGCAAAAAAAGCUACUAGAACUAAGUGACUUUAGCAAAGUUUUAGCACAUACUGCUAGAAAAAUUGGGUAACCAUAUUUUUUUAAAAAGCAUAGAUUCAUACCUUGUACCAUAUACAAAAAUUGACUCAAAAUGGAUCAUAGACCUAAAUGUAAAACCUAAAACUAUAAAACUUUUAGGAGGAAACAUGGGAGAAAACCUUUGUCAUCUCAUGUUAAGCAAAGACUCCUCUGAUGUAACACAAAAAGCAUGAUCCAUAGAAAAACAAAUUAAUAAAUUUAACAGCCAUGGUGGCACAUGCCUGUGGUCCCAGCUACUCAAGAGGCGGAGGUGGGAGGUUCGCUUGAGCCCAGGAGGUCGAAGCUACAGUGACCUAUGAGCACACCACUGCACCCCAGCCUGGGUGACAGUGAGAUCCUGUCUCAAAAUAAGGGGAGAGAUCUCCAUACCCAUAUUCAUAACAGCAUUUUUCACAAUAGCCAAAAGGUGGGAACAAUGCACAUGUCCAUCAGUGGAUGAAUGGAUAAAUAAAAUGUGGUAUAUACACACAAUAGAAUAAUACUCAGCAUUAAAAAGAAAAGAAAUUCUGACGCAGGCUACAACACAGAUUAAGCUUGAAUACAUUAUGCAAAGUGAAAUAAGCCAGUCACAAAAAGAUAAAUAUUAUAUGACUAUCAGGGUAUUCAAAUUCAGAGACAGAAAGUAGCAUGGCAGUCGCCAGAGGUUGUGGGCAGAAGGGGUUGGGAGGUUAUUGUUUAAUAAGUACAGUUUUGGUUAUGCAUAAUAUAAAUCAUUCUGCCAUAAAGACACAUGCACACAUAUGUUCACUGCAGCACUAUUCACAAUACCAAAGACAUGGAAUCGACCUAAAUGUCUAUCAACGAAAGACUGGAUAAAGAAAAUGUGGUACAUAUGUGUGGGGAUUAUGGGAACUACAAUUCGAGAUUUAGGUGUGGACACAGCCAAACCAUAUCAGAUGGUAACGUUUAUGUUCUGUGUAUUUUACCAUAAUUUUUAAAAAUAAAAACAAAUGUGUCAAUAAAGCUUUCCCAUAAUGAAAAAAAGACACCGUUUACAGAAUGAGAAGACAAGAUACUGGCCAGGCACAAUGGCUCAUGCCUGUAAUCCCAGAACUUUGGGAGGCUAAGACGGGUGUAUCACUUGAGGUCCAGAGUUCAAGACCAGCCUUGCCAACAUGGUGAAACCUUGUCUCUGGUAAAAAUAUAAAAGUUAGCCAAGCAUGGUGGCCUGCGCCUGUAAUUCCAGCUACUCAGGAGGCUGAGGCAUGAGAAUUACUUGAACCCAGGAGGCAGAGGUUGCAGUGAGCCGAGAUUGCACCACUACACUCCAACCUGGGUGAGGACUCUGUUUCAAAAAAAAAAAAAAAAAAAAACACCCCUGUAUCCAGCAUAUAAUCCUCAAAAUUCAAAAAUAAUAAAACAAUCCAAAAUAUGCAAGAGAUGUGAACACCUUGCCAAAGAAGAUAUGUAGAUAGCAAAUAAGCAUAUAAAAUAUGCUCAAAUCAUUAGAGGAUGCAAAUAAAAACGAUGAGAUACCACCACAUACUUAAUGUCAAAAAACCUGGCUGGGCAUUCUGAGAUUACUUUUUUUUUUCAUUUGGGGAGACGAAUCCCUUACUAGCAGAGCUGUAUUGAGGGUUAACGGUGGUAAUGGGUCUCCAGGGCUUGGUGCAGUUUGUACUCAACAAGUACGUAAUUCUCUCCUUUGGUUGCCCCUGAAUACAAGAGUGGUCUUGUACUUCCCUGCCUGAACAGUCCACAGCCAAUGGCACUCCAGUCCUUGUCACAUGGUUCCACUCUUAGGAUGUAAAUUAGGAGGUACCAGCUUGAGAGGCAGAGGCAAAGGUAAGGUUAAGAUGCAGCUGUGAGGCUGGGCACAGUGGCUCACGCCUAUAAUCCCAGCACUUUGGGAGGCCGAAGCGAGUGGAUCACUUGAGGUCAAGAGUUCGAGACCAGCCUGGUCAACAUGGUGAAACAUCGUCUCUACUAAAAAUACAAAAACUAGCCAGGCGUGGUGGCAGGUGCCUGUAAUCCCAGCUACUUGGGAGGCUAAGGCAGGAGGAUCACUUGAACCCGGGAGGCAGAGGUUGCAGUGAGCCGAGAUCACGCCAUUGCACUCCAGCCUGGGCAACAGAGCAAAAUAAAUAAAUAAAGGUGCAGCUGUGGGUCGAAGGAUGGUGUGGAAGUUUGGGGUAGACAUCCAAGACUGCAGUAAUGCUAUGCCCAGGGUAUAUUUUGGGGCAAAACCCCCAAAAUACCCUGGCAAAGAAAGAAGAUUGUGUUUCAGUUGCAAUCAUCUACCCUAAUCCCUUUCUGAGGGCCUCUGGCACUGCUUGGGCUCACUGCCCUUGUCUGAUGGGGUAGGAUCUCCCAGAGGAGACAGCUAAUUAUACUUUAAUGAGGUGACUUACAGACACUGGAAAAGGAGUUGGCUGGUACACUCCCAUAUAUAGCAGCUCUCUCGAGGAUACAGUCUGUGAAUAAAUGGUACCAGAACCCUCUUGAGCCAUGGAAUUCAAAUGCUGGUGCAAUAGGAGACAUGGUCACACAAGGGCAGGGUCCAGCCAGAGUACUUCAGUUAAAGAGAUUCCUCCAAUUCACAAUCUGCCCAGAAAUGCCCCCAAGACGGGGCUUCCCCCUAAAGCCUCCCUACUAACAGGUGCUUUGUUUUCUCUUCACGCAAACAGGGUAGUGCCUACCACACUUCAGCACAAGCCAGGCUUGUUUGUUCUCUUCUUCCCUCUACCCUAUCCCUAGAACCUUCCAGAGACACAGGAGGCUCAUUACUUUCUACUUUUUCUCACUGCCACCCAGGUGAAGACCUAUGGACUUGGAAGAUGCAUGGCCCAAAGCCCACUGCAGGCAUGCCUUGCCACUGAAAUCUCCUGUGGGGUGGUAAAGAAACCAUCACCCUCCCGCAGGGACCCCCAGGUCUACCAGCAACCUAACUUCUAGUGGCAUAUUCACCUGUCUAAGAGAGUUUUGUAGGCAGAGUUUUGUAGGUCAGCCCUCAACAGGUGUUAGCACCUGAGCUCUGCUGAUACUUCUUUUAUUUCUCUUGUAAAACAGAGUAGGGGUUAAAUAGAGGGUAUUGGGUUUGGCAGCUGCAGCCCCUUGGGAUUUUUUUUUUUUUUUUUUUUUUGGGACGGAGUUUCGUGUUGUUGCCCAGGCUAGAGUGCAAUGGUGCCGUCUGGGCUCACUGCAACCUCUGCCUCCCAGGUUCAGGCGAUUCUCCUGCC